rnacentral:rRNA from 1 species
CUUUUAGAGAUAGAAGUGUUCUCUUCGGAGACAAAGUGACAGGUGGUGCAUGGUCGUCGUCAGCUCGUGUCGUGAGAUGUUGGGUUAAGUCCCGCAACGAGCGCAACCCUUAUUGUUAGUUGCCAGCAUUCAGUUGGGCACUCUAGCGAGACUGCCGGUGACAAACCGGAGGAAGGCGGGGACGACGUCAGAUCAUCAUGCCCCUUAUGACCUGGGCUACACACGUGCUACAAUGGCGUAUACAACGAGUUGCCAACCUGCGAAGGUGAGCUAAUCUCUUAAAGUACGUCUCAGUUCGGACUGCAGUCUGCAACUCGACUGCACGAAGUCGGAAUCGCUAGUAAUCGCGGAUCAGCACGCCGCGGUGAAUACGUUCCCGGGUCUUGUACACACCGA